UACGUAGGUGGCUAGCGUUAUCCGGAAUUAUUGGGCGUAAAGCGAGCGCAGGUGGUUUAUUAAGUCUGGUGUAAAAGGCAGUGGCUCAACCAUUGUAUGCAUUGGAAACUGGUAGACUUGAGUGCAGGAGAGGAGAGUGGAAUUCCAUGUGUAGCGGUGAAAUGCGUAGAUAUAUGGAGGAACACCGGUGGCGAAAGCGGCUCUCUGGCCUGUAACUGACACUGAGGCUCGAAAGCGUGGGGAGCAAACAGG
rnacentral:rRNA from 1 species